GCAAUUCAACUUCCUAUUAAAAAAAUUCUUGUGCACGUCAUCCUUAUGCAGGGACCGUGCUAAUAUUCUUUAUAUCGUUGGAUCAUGGACGUCCCCAAGGGGGCCUAUUAAAAAAAUUUCUCCAACAAAGCAUCUCACUCCAUUCCAAAGAAAUACUCACAAAAAAAACUCAAGGCUGAAAUUG